rnacentral:rRNA from 1 species
ACGCUGGCGGCGUGCUUAACACAUGCAAGUCGAACGAAAAUACCAAGCUUGCUUGGUUGAUUAGUGGCGAACGGGUGAGUAACACGUGAGUAACCUGCCCCUUACUUUCUGGAUAACUGCUCGAAAGGGUAGCUAAUACGGGAUAUUCUGGCCUUCCUGCAUGGGUUGGUUUGGAAAGGUUUUUUCUGGUGAGGGAUGGACUCGCGGCCUAUCAGCUUGUUGGUGGGGUGAUGGCCUACCAAGGCUUUGACGGGUAGCCGGCCUGAGAGGGUGGACGGUCACACUGGGACUGAGAUACGGCCCAGACUCCUACGGGAGGCAGCAGUGGGAAUAUUGCACAAUGGGCGCAAGCCUGAUGCAGCGACGCCGCGUGAGGGAUGAAGGCCUCCGGGUUGUAAACCUCUUUCGUCAGGGAACAAGGCACUGUCUUUUUGGUGGUGUUGAGGGUACCUGGAUAAGAAGCGCCGGCUAACUACGUGCCAGCAGCCGCGGUAAUACGUAGGGCGCAAGCGUUGUCCGGAAUUAUUGGGCGUAAAGAGCUCGUAGGCGGCUGGUCGCGUCUGUCGUGAAAACUUCCGGCUCAACCGGGGGCUUGCGGUGGGUACGGGCCGGCUAGAGUGCGGUAGGGGUAACUGGAACUCCUGGUGUAGCGGUGGAAUGCGCAGAUAUCAGGAAGAACACCGAUGGCGAAGGCAGGUUACUGGGCCGUUACUGACGCUGAGGAGCGAAAGCGUGGGGAGCGAACAGGAUUAGAUACCCUGGUAGUCCACGCUGUAAACGUUGGGCACUAGGUGUGAGGCUCCUUUCCGGGGGUUUUGCGCCGUAGCUAACGCAUUAAGUGCCCCGCCUGGGGAGUACGGCCGCAAGGCUAAAACUCAAAGGAAUUGACGGGGGCCCCACAAGCGGCGGAGCAUGCGGAUUAAUUCGA